rnacentral:rRNA from 1 species
ACUACGGGAGGCAGCAGUGAGGAAUAUUGGUCAAUGGGCGGAAGCCUGAACCAGCCAAGUAGCGUGCAGGAUGACGGCCCUACGGGUUGUAAACUGCUUUUAUACGGGAAUAACGCGCCUUACGUGUAGGGCUUUGCAUGUACCGUAUGAAUAAGGACCGGCUAAUUCCGUGCCAGCAGCCGCGGUAAUACGGAAGGUCCGGGCGUUAUCCGGGUUUAUUGGGUUUAAAGGGAGCGUAGGCCGCAUGUCAAGCGUGCUGUGAAAUGUCCGGGCUCAACCCGGGCCUUGCAGCGCGAACUGGCGUGCUUGAGUCCGCGGAAAGCAGGCGGAAUUCGUCGUGUAGCGGUGAAAUGCUUAGAUAUGACGAAGAACCCCGAUUGCGAAGGCAGCUUGCUGCAGCGGAACUGACGCUGAUGCUCGAAAGCGCGGGUAUCGAACAGGAUUAGAUACCCGAGUAGUC